rnacentral:rRNA from 1 species
UACAGAGGUCUCAAGCGUUGUUCGGAUUCAUUGGGCGUAAAGGGUGCGCAGGCGGCGCGGUAAGUCGGGUGUGAAAUCUCGGAGCUUAACUCCGAAACUGCAUUCGAUACUGCCGUGCUUGAGGACUGGAGAGGAGACUGGAAUUUACGGUGUAGCGGUGAAAUGCGUAGAUAUCGUAAGGAAGACCAGUGGCGAAGGCGGGUCUCUGGACAGUUCCUGACGCUGAGGCACGAAGGUCAGGGGAGCAAACGGG